CUACGGGCUGCUCCAGUGAGGAAUAUUGCACAAUGGAGGAAACUCUGAUGCAGCAACGCCGCGUGGAGGAUGACGCAUUUCGGUGUGUAAACUCCUUUUAUAUGUCAAGAAAAUGACGGUAGCAUAUGAAUAAGCACCGGCUAACUCCGUGCCAGCAGCCGCGGUAAUACGGAGGGUGCAAGCGUUACUCGGAAUCACUGGGCGUAAAGGACGCGUAGGCGGGAUAUCAAGUCAGGUGUGAAAUCCUACAGCUUAACUGUAGGACUGCACUUGAAACUGGUAACCUAGAGUAUGGGAGGGGGAGAUGGAAUUAGUGGUGUAGGGGUAAAAUCCGUAGAUAUCACUAGGAAUACCUAAAGCGAAGGCGAUCUCCUGGAACAUAACUGACGCUAAGGCGUGAAAGCGUGGGGAGCAAACAGGAUUAGAUACCCGCGUAGUC
rnacentral:rRNA from 1 species